rnacentral:rRNA from 1 species
UAAGACGAACCGUGCGAACGUUGUUCGGAUUCACUGGGCUUAAAGGGCGCGUAGGCGGCUUGCCAAGUCUGUGGUGAAAUCUUUCGGCUCAACCGGAAAACGGCCGUGGAUACUGGCAAGCUCGAGGGGGGUAGGGGCCGUGGGAACUGCCGGUGGAGCGGUGAAAUGCGUUGAGAUCGGCAGGAACGCCGGUGGCGAAAGCGCACGGCUGGGCCCUCCCUGACGCUGAGGCGCGAAAGCCAGGGGAGCAAACGGGAUUAGAUACCCCGGUAGUCCUGGCCUUAAACGAUGGGGACUAGGUAGCGGGCCUGACAUGGGCCCGCUGCCGGAGCAAAAGUGUUAAGUCCCCCGCCUGGGGAGUAUGGUCGCAAGGCUG